AGUUUCCAUCACUGUGGCUCCAGUGCCCAAGCGGAAGCCCAGAGACGGCAGCACCCCCAAGCUUCCAGCCCAGCGCACCCUGGGGCUGCAGGUCAUGGGUGGCCCAGGUUGAGGACAGACGGGAAGGACCGAAGAGGGACUGGGGACAAGACUGGCUGGCAGGGCUGCUGCUGAUAGCAGUGGACAUGUGGCCUUGCCGGGGCUCUCAGCUCCUCCACCUGGGCAGGUGCAGAGCAUGGCUGUCCCCAGCCGGGACUCCGCUCAGCCAUCCACCCAAAGAGGUUUUGUCACCAACUGCACAGCCACUUAGCUGCUCCGUGCUUCCGCAGCCUCCCAGAGAGAUGUGCAGAAUGCAAAAGUUGUAGGCUGAGGAAAGCUUCCACCCAGAUUUCAGAAGAUGGCCUGGGAGGCCGGCAGUAUGUGCACGAGAGGGCCGUGUAUGAAGCUGUGAAGCUGAAGCCAAAAGUGAAAUGCAGAUGCCAGGAAGGUGGAGAAGCCAGUAAUGUGCAUUGUCCACUGAGGCAAGCUGUAGGCGCUAGGAGUUUGAGUCUCAGAGAAGACUUUGGACUUGCACUUUUCAGCAACUGGGGCUUUUUUUGUGCUCCUGGAUGUCAGACUCGGGAUCUUGUGUUUGCCAGGCAGACGUUUAAGCUGUAUCUCCCAGGUCCACCAGCUGGGGCUUUAAGACUUUGGAGACUCUCCAAACUUCUAAAUGAAGUUCACAUAAAGAGAUGCACACAAGUCUUAGGAGUCGGGUGAUGCGUUAGGGUUUAGAUCUAGAUGCCUUGGAGC